rnacentral:rRNA from 1 species
UACGGAGGGUGCAAGCGUUAUCCGGAUUCACUGGGUUUAAAGGGUGCGUAGGUGGCUUUGUAAGUCAGUGGCGAAAUCUCGGAGCUUAACUCCGCAACUGCCAUUGAUACUGCUUAGCUUGAAUCAAGUAGAGGUGGAUGGAAUAUUACAUGUAGCGGUGAAAUGCUUAGAUAUGUAAUAGAACACCGAUUGCGAAGGCAGUUCACUAUGCUUGUAUUGACACUGAGGCACGAAAGCGUGGGGAUCAAACAGG